rnacentral:rRNA from 1 species
CCUACGGGAGGCAGCAGUGAGGAAUAUUGGUCAAUGGACGAGAGUCUGAACCAGCCAAGUAGCGUGAAGGAUGACUGCCCUAUGGGUUGUAAACUUCUUUUAUAUGGGAAUAAAAUGUUCCACGUGUGGGAUUUUGUAUGUACCAUAUGAAUAAGGAUCGGCUAACUCCGUGCCAGCAGCCGCGGUAAUACGGAGGAUCCGAGCGUUAUCCGGAUUUAUUGGGGUUAAAGGGAGCGUAGGUGGAUUGUUAAGUCAGUUGUGAAAGUUUGCGGCUCAACCGUAAAAUUGCAGUUGAAACUGGCAGUCUUGAGUGCAGUAGAGGUGGGCGGAAUUCGGGGUGUAGCGGUGAAAUGCUUAGAUAUCACGAAGAACUCCGAUUGCGAAGGCAGUUCACUGGACUGCAACUGACACUGAGGCUCGAAAGUGUGGGUAUCAAACAGGAUUAGAUACCCCAGUAGUC